rnacentral:rRNA from 1 species
UGGGGAAUCUUGGACAAUGGGGGCAACCCUGAUCCAGCCAUGCCGCGUGAGUGAUGAAGGCCUUAGGGUCGUAAAGCUCUUUCGCCUGUGAAGAUAAUGACGGUAGCAGGUAAAGAAACCCCGGCUAACUCCGUGCCAGCAGCCGCGGUAAUACGGAGGGGGUUAGCGUUGUUCGGAAUUACUGGGCGUAAAGAGUUCGUAGGCGGACUAGCAAGUUAGAGGUGAAAUCCCAGGGCUCAACCCCGGAAACUGCCUCCAAAACUAUUGGUCUAGAGUUCGAGAGAGGUGAGUGGAAUUCCAAGUGUAGAGGUGAAAUUUCGUAGAUAUUUGGAGGAACACCAGUGGCGAAGGCGGCUCACUGGCUCGAUACUGACGCUGAGGUGCGAAAGUGUGGGGAGCAAACAGGAUUAGAUACCCUGGUAGUCCACACCGUAAACGAUGAAUGCCAGUCGUCGGGUAGCAUGCUAUUCGGUGACACACCUAACGGAUUAAGCAUUCCGCCUGGGGAGUACGGUCGC